rnacentral:lncRNA from 1 species
GGAGGCGACGGUGAGGAGAUACAUUACAAUGUAUGAAUACCAGAGCUCGACCGGGAAGCCGACGCACCUUUAUAUCAACGGGAAGAGAUUCGAGGACCCGGUGACGGAGACGCCGAGGCCGGGGAGCACGGAGGUGUGGGAGGUGAUCAACCUAACGGGGGAUAACCAUCCAUUGCAUCUCCACCUAGCGACGUCCCAGGCCGUGAGGGUGACGGAGCUGGUGGAUUUGACGACGUUCGGCAAUUGUAUGACGGCAAACAAUGACGCCGUUAAGUGUAACGUCACGGGCCAUGCGGUGGGGAAGAAGCUGCCAGUGCCGGAAUACGAGAAGACGUGGAAGAAUGUGGUGAAGAUUGAACCUGGCUACGUGACGACGGUGGUGGUGAAGUUUAGGCUUAUUGAUACGAAUGCGUCGUAUCCAUUUGACGCAACGGCGGAGCCCGGUUACGUCUACCAUUGCCAUGUAAGCUCUCAUUUAUAUCACCCCUUUUUAUUACCGGGCUCUUUAUUUUAAUCGACCUAAUUAAUAGGAUAAUCCCAAUAGUUUUAACUAAAUGAGAGAAACAAGUCCUAAAUUCGGUUAUGUUCUAUAUCCUGUCGCUGGCUUACAUGUAUAAAUAUUGGCAGGGUUUUCCAAAAUGGAACUUUACAAACUUAAAGAACUCCUAAAAUCAAAUUAAAUAAUAUAUGUUUUGCACAUUAUUUGAAUUAAAUAAUAUUUUCUAAUUAAUAUUUUUUGUCCUAUUUGUUGACCUACUCCAAUUAUCUUUUUGAGGAGACCUACCCUACAUCUUACUUUAAACUCAAACUUGUGUUAAUUCGGCUAAGUGUUAGCUAUUGCAAUCACUGUGUUAAUUAAUUGGAUGAAAAUAUCUUUGAUUAAAAUAUUUAUCAUAAAAAAAUAUUUCAAAUAUAGAAGAUAAAAAAACUAAAUAUAAUAAAAAAUAAUAUACUAAAUUAUUAAUAGAUUUUUAAUUUUUAAUACUAUUUUUUAGAUCUUAUUGAUCAGUGUUCAACAUUACUCUUCAAUUGCACAAUAAAUAAAAAAGUCAUAAAUCAUGUAUCUAAAAAAUUAUGUAUGUAUGUGUGUGUGUGCAUGUGUGUGCGUGCGUGUGUAUCAAAAAAAAUAUUAAAAAUUUAUUGAUAUUUUUAAUUGUGUUACGUACUAAGGAUUUAGAAUAUUAAAUGAAUAAUAUCAAAUAUUUUUAAUUUCAUUCUAUCACUAAUGUUGUUUUCUUUCAAUGAAAAUAACUGAUUAUUGAAAUAUUAUAAUUUUCUUAAAAUAACUGAAUUUAUAAUGCAACAUAUCUAUUUUAUUAAAUAUAUUUGUGCUCUUCAAAUUUUAUUUUAAUUGUUAAAUUUUUUUGAGCUAUACAUGUGGUCAUAAGUUCAAAUCCGUGGUCCCGUGCCUUGAUGACUAAUAAGGAGAGUGAAGGACGGAGAGGAUGGAGAUGGAAAUGAGUGGCAAGUCGAAGAAGAUAAAGAGACAGUGGAAAAAUGGGAGUAGUUUUCAUUGAAAAGACAUGGUCCUUAUCAGAAAGAAAAAGCAUGGGUCCCGUUUUCAUAAAGGUGAGAAAAUAUUAUGGAGCAAGUCCACCGUGGACCAGUCCAACCAAACAGUAACACCGAUCCUUUUUCCCCCUGUCCUCACUUUAUGUGCAAUGGGUAGUGGUCCCCACUAAUAUUUUCUCAGAGGAUAGCGUGGAGAAUACAUUGAUGGCUCAACUCUUCUCAAAAUUGCCAUUUUAAAUGAAUCCUUUUUCCCUAAUUGCAAAAAUAUCAUGAUUCCUGAUGAAGUAAGGCAAGACAGGCAUGAAUAGAGAUAAUAUGCAGUAUAUGAUCUUGUGAGUAUAAUAUGUGAAUGCAUGCAUUUAUAAGUAGCACGUGGAUCUUCUGCAGUGCGCCGCACUGUUUGCACAGUCCAUCGCACGAUGGAUGAUAUGCACGAUCAUAUAUGUAUGUGCACGAUCAUAUAUAGUCAUUUAUCGUAUGAUAGAUGAUAUAUGUGAUGCAUCAUAUCGUAUGGUAUAUUUUGAUAUUUUAAAAAAUCUGCGUCCUCAUAAGUGUACGUCAAGAAUGCUAACAAAAGAUAAAAUAACAAACCCAUCCAUGUGGAAAUUUUGUUCACCUGCACUUAAUGAAGAGGUUGCGAGAUCUAUUUUCUCGUCACUUAGUGGAUUGAUCGUUUGUCAUUUAAUGUGCGCAGAUUCUAGACCACGAAGACAAUGCAAUGAUUCGGCCCAUGAUGCUCGUUUCUUGACGCCACGCCAAAUCGGAAAAAGACGAGCAUUUCUUAGAGAUUUUUCGAUAUUUCAUAAUCUUAAGCAUGAAGCUUGGUCCACAAAUCUUUGGAGAUUCCCCCACUGGUGCAGAAAGUCUGGGAUGGAUUAAAUAUUUUGAUAAACUAUUUUCAUGCAUGUAAAAGUUUAUUUUAUCAAAAAAAUGUAAGUAGAAGUUUAUGGGAUUGUGAUAUAUAGAUGCUCCGCAAAUGGCUUAAGCACUUAGUUUGUAUCAUGGAGGGACGGUAUUUUUAGUUUCAUAUUAAUUAUAAAUUAAAAAAAUAUAAUUUAUGUGAAAUGAGAUGUUUUUUCUUACGUAAGGUAUUUUUUAAAAGUCAAAACCCUGAAGCUCCAAAUUAAUUAUCAAGGCUACCUAAUGUAUGCAUGUCUUAUCUUCCGGAUGAAAAUCUCCAGCAUCUCCUGUCAUGCCUACAUUCAUGCCAUUAAUGUCUUCAAAUAUUUUGUCUUAUCUUCCGAAUGGGAAUCUCCAGCAUCUCCUUUGGAAGGCCAUGCCUACAUGCUACAACUAUAUAUACCGAGCCUUGGCUAACAACCACUAGACUUGGUUCCAUUGCCUCAAGUGACUGGUGGACAACAUCUUGAUUAGACUUGCGCGCCCUCCCAUUAUCGAAUGGCAUGUAGUCAAGGAUAGAUGCCAUGCAUUAAAUGAGAUUUAGAUGUAUGUCAUGGUUUACAAGCUUUAGAAACAUAAAAUGAGAUUUUCUUUUUUUUGAAGCAGAGCGAGUGAAGCAAGUGAAAUAUAACAUAAUAAGCAAAGCAAGAAAAAAAAAGGAUUCCUCCAUCCUUCGACGGCCAUGCUUGCUUUGUUUAGGUUAUACAAUAAGUUAGUUAGGAUGCAGAGUCUCCGCCCUGUAGAUCGGACAAAUCUGAUUAUCGUACAUAAGACAUGAUUUCGAAUCCAGAUCAAUUUACUUUAUUAUACAUAUCUCUUAUAAUCCUAAAAGAAGAGAGAGUGAUUAAAUAUCCUGAUGAUUAUGUAUAUUAAUGGAGCUGAGAUUUCUGUAAAAAUCUUAUAUUCUGAAAUCUCUAAUAUUCUAUAUUAAAUUUUUAUAUUAUUUUUAUCUAUGGACGUAAGUCAAUAGGUCGAAUCAUAUAAAUAUUAUUGCUCUUAUUUUUUUUCUCUUUUUUUUUAUUUUAUUAUUUUUUCUACCUGUUAUAAAAGGAUGUUUAGUGCAAGUUGUCUCUAAAUGGUGCCCAAGAUCAUGCCUCGAGUGCCAUCAUAGGAAAACUUGUAUUGCUUAACCAUUUAUUGCGCUCAGGGCAUAACUAAUUAUUUGUGAGGAUGAGAAGAUAUUCUUAAAACAUUGUUGGCAUGCAAAUUGGAUUCAAGUCAACAUCAUUACUUACAGAGAUUUGAAGUUCCAUAAAAUAUCAUGGAAUGAAAUUCUAAAUAUAGCCUAUGACAACAUAGUGGGUGUUUCUUGUAGAAACUUCAAGCAAAUAGAAAAUCUGUGACAGAUUACAGGGGUGGAAGUGGUGGUGUUUUCUGUGAUUGGAACUUAUCCUCCUUAAGUUUAAGGUCAAAUUUCUCAGGUGGUGUUAGAUCAACCCUUAGACGGUCAAUAGCACAAUAAUGUAUCGUAAUUCAAAUUUUAAAUAGAAGAAAACUAGCAAGACUUAUUGAAUGUAUUUAUGAGCCAUUUGGCUCCAAUGUUGAGACCAUUUAUAUAACGGCAUGAGUCUUUCUCGAUUUUAAUAGCAAAGCAAGCUGAGAGGCCUGAAGUUUCCAAUCAAUACUAGACACCAUAAUAUCCACUCGGGGGCGGCUCAACAUAUUUGAAGGCCUAAAGCUAAAAACUUCCACCGUCCCACGCUAUCUGCCCACGAGCCCAUCACAUUUUCUUCUGCCACGUGUUUUGAUUUUUGACAAAAAAAAAAAACCCCGAUGCCACAGCCCUUUCAUCUUCCACCUGUGACUGGUCACCGGCCGAUCGACCGUCGGCGAGCCGCGACAGGCGACUUCUCACUCUCGAACCGAGCGGGAAGGAGGGACUUGGGGGCUGCGCAGGCUGCAGGGUCCGGCAGGGGCCAGGGAGGGAUCUUCUUCCGGGCUCCGACUUUCGAGAAACGAAAAAAGAAAUUGUUUCCGGCGGACCGGCGGCCCGCCGGCCCAGCGCACCAAGCGGGACGGAGGGGGAGUGCCGAAAAACAAAAAAAAUGAAGAAACUUAUCGGUGGAGCCGACGAGCUGUGGUGGUCCUGGACGGCUGGAUCUCCUCACCUCCUGGCUCCUGGUGGUCUUGUCUUGCCGCAUUGCCGGCCGGGGAGGCCUUGCCAGGCCGGAGAGACCGGGGCUGGUGGAGCCGUGGAGCGGGACUGGAGGCGGAGGCGAGAUCGGGAUGCUGGGAUGCGCCGAUGCGGUCACUGAUGGAGCGUGGAGGUGGGACCAGGACGGCAGGAUGCCGAACGGCCAGAGGUGGAGGCGUGGAGGCGGAGGCUGGACCGCGACUGGACUUGGAGGCGGGAUCGGGACGUCGGAGGCGAGAUCGGGAUGCCGAGAUGCGGUCACUGAUGGAGUGUGGAGGGCCUGGAGGUGGGAUCGGGAUGCCGGAGGUGGAGGCUGGACCGCGAUGCCGGAUGCGAGCGAGCGGGGGCCUAAGGCAAGGGCUUCGGUGGCCUUGCCCUUCAGCCGCCCCUAUCCACCAACCAAUACUUGGUGAAUAUGGCUAAUAGUAACCCGUUUGUCACAGAUAGAUUGGCCAAUUCUAAUUUACAAUAUGGAAGUGUUGGAAUAGGAGAGAAACCCAUCCUACAAAAGUAUAUGACUUAUGAGAAAGAAAAAAAUGAAUAUUGCUUUGGUGAAUCUUUUGAUAUAUUCUAAAGACUGACAUAACAAAGAUGAUGUUUAACCAACCAUAUGUGGGUCCUAUAAAUUAGGCCAAGCAAGUUAUCACUAAUGUUUCAAUUAAUGUUAGGCUAACUUUAAAACUCAGGAUAAAUUUUAAUGAGUAAGAAAAACUUAGAUAUAAAUACGGGUCUUUAAUUGGUGUUUGGUUGGGAUUAUGAGAGAGUGGACAGAUAUUAGUUAAAAGGAUGCAUAAUAUUCAUCAGUCAGGUGAUUCAGAAAAUUAUAGAAAGGAUAGAUGAAAGAUGAGCGACUGCUCGUCCAUUCUAGUCCAUCAAUUUGCAUCCUCUUAAAAUUGAUAGAAUGAAAAAAAAGAUGGAUAUUGAUGGAUGGAUUUCUUUACUAAUAAAAUUAUCUUUUAUUUUAUUUUUUUGAAAAAAUUAUAACCUUUUUUCACUUUUUAUUCAUAUUAUUUAUAUACAUUUAUAUAUAUAGUAGUAAUCAGAUCCUAUUAAAUUUUAUUACUAAUUAUAUUAAUUUUAGUACAUAAUUUUCAUGAAAGUAAUUAAAUAAUUAGAAUUAUCUUCUAUUUUUUUAUUUAUAUUUUUUAUUUUUUAUUAACUAUUUAUAUAAUAUUAAUUAACUAUUUAAAUUAGAUUAUAAAUUAAUAAGUUACUUAUAUAAUUAAUAAAUAAUAAUUCAUCAAUAAUUAAUUUAUAAAAUUAUGUAUUAAAUUAAAUUAAAUAUUUAUAUAAUUUUUUAUAUAAUUAUAGAUUAUAAGAUUAUAAGUUUAUACAUUGUUUAUUUUUUUUAUAUAAAUAAAUAUUAUAAAUUGAUAAUAAUAUUAUUUUUAUUAAAAAAUAAUUUAAUAAAAAUAUUAUAUAAAUAUUAUCCAUCUUUUCUUUCAUUUCUUCUAUACCAAACAGAAGAGAAAAUUAUUUUUAUCCACCCUUCAAAUUUUUACUAAAUAUGAGAAGAUUGAUGAAAGAUCCAUCCAUCUUCUCUCUUAUUUUUCUUUUCUCCUUCGUUUACUUUUUCUUCAAUCCAUCGUUCAUACUAAACAGAAAGUGAAGAUAGGUUUUGUGUUUCUCAAAAUCAAUAAUUUGAUGUAAAAGGUCUCAAUCCAUCUGCUCUUUAAUAUUCUACUAUAGUAACAGCUAAAUAAGAAUAUAUUUUUAAUAAUAAAAAUUUGAUUGAAUUAUUUCUAGUUGCCCCUCACCUCCAGUAUCGAGAUGUAAUAAUACUGUAGCAAAACAAAGAGAACAAAUAGAGGGUUUUUUUUUUGUUCAAAGAAGAUAAGAGAGAUUAUAUAAAAAUUUAAAAAUUAAUAUAUAUAUAUAUAUAGAGAGGUGGCUUCUAUCUCGAAUCUAAUCAAGCGGUCGAAGCGGUUCAUUUUUUUAUAUAUAAUGGUAAAGUUUGCGACAGAUACAAGCAUACAUACAACGGCAAGUUUUCUAUGGAUAAAAAGAAGGAAAGUUGAGGUGUUUUUUUUUGGGUAAAAAGAGUUGAGGUACCUUAAAACACCUAAAACAACAACAGCCAAUACAUUGGUAAACGGCAAAGUUAACAAAGGAAGGUGUUUCAUAUGGCCGGUGUUAGCCUACUUUUUCUCUUUCCAAUAAAAAAUUAAUUAAUUUAUAAAAAAAAGGGGGAAAAAAAAAGGGAGGCAUCUUGAUCUUGGCGGGAUGUACUAACCCGCAGCUAAAGAUAAUAUCCUAAUUAGUAACAGUCUUGCUUUUUUUGAAUUAUGAAUAGGGUCAACAAAAUAUGAUCUGAUCCGUCAAUUCAAUUUAUAUUCGAUCUAUCAUAAAAAUAUUUAAAUUUAGUCUAACUGAAUUUGAAUCUUAAAAAAAUUAAUUAAUUUAUUUUAUUUAAUAUUUCGAUCGGAUUUAAAUUUUAAAUAUCUGAUCCAUUUAAUCCAUUUAACUUGUUUAAUAUUCAGAUUAGAUUGAGUUAGAUAACUCAUUUAUCUGUUUAAAAUUUAUUUAAUCUGUUUCUAAUCUAUCUAACUCAAUUUAUUUAACUUAUUUAAUUUAUUUAAGAUAUGUUUAAUAUAUUUAAAAUCUACUUAAUCUGCUGAUCCAUUUAAUCUGACCUAUUUAAUCUAUUUAAUUUGUUUAACUUAAUUUAAUUUAUUUAAUAAACUGAUUAAAUAGAUCAGAUUAAAUUAUCUAUUUAAUAAAUAAAUUAAAUUUAAAUUUAAAUUUUUAAUUUAUUUAAUAAAUAAAUUAAAUUUAAAUUGAUAAUUUUUUAAUUCAAUACAUAUUGAUCUGAUUCGUAUCCAAUCCAAUUUACCCUAAUUACCAUCUCUAAUUAUGAAUAAAAAAUGCGCGCUGCUUUUUUCUAAACCCACAGCGAGUAACCAGAACGUAGCUCAGACAAAUCCAAAGCUAGAGACCAUACGGAGCCUUGAAUGGAUAACGUACGGAUGGAAUGUAUACACUCCGGGCAACCAAAAUCCGUCCGCGAGAAAUUGUUUGUUAGGCCUAAUCCAUCAGCUUAGCGAUUGACUAAUCCUAUCAAACAGCACCAUAUAUCAUAUUAAAGAAUAAGAAAGGAAAAAAAAAAAAGCUAAGCACCAUCAAAGCGCCGCUCAAAUCUGCCUUCAUGCCUAGUGAAAUCCUUGCACCUAAUCUUCAUCCGCUGCCACACCCUUUCGCUCUCUUGCAUCAUUGUUCUUUGACUUCGGUACCUCUCCAUUCACUAUCUUAAUGUACCAUUGAUCGAUAUUUUUUCGAAUCUUAUUCUCUGCUAGAUAUAUUGAAUGAAUUUAUUGAAAUUGCUGACGGACUUUUAUGUGCUAUCAUUCUCUGGUCUACUUUCUAUUGUCAGCUCAUCUCGAACUCUCUCUGGAUUCUUUGUGCGCCACCACUCACCCCAUCAGGGUCCUGUGAAAAAGUUGCUCGAGUGCCAAUCUGUAGUCCGAGCACGCCGCCCUCUCCUUGCACCAUAAUUUUGAUACAAUAUUGGAGCUGAGCUACAAAAAUAUAUUAUGAUUUUACAUUCACCAAAAUAUAUAGACACGCACGCAUACAAGAGUAUAGGAUUUCAGAAAAUCAGAAUCUUAUAUUUUACUAUAAAAAAUUAACAGAGAUCUCAUGAUUUUAAUAGAUGUGAUACAUAUUACAUAAAUUUCUCGGAUAUAGUAUAUUAGCUGAAAAUCUGCUUGAUAUUCUCUGGUAUUUUAGAUAUUUUCUAAUAUGAUAUAUCGAUUGAAAUUUUUUUAAUAUUUUUUGAUAUUUUUGUAAUAUUUAUCGAUAUUCUCAGAUAAAAAUGGACUGCCCCGCUGACGAGAUAUGGAUUGCCCCAGAUGGGAAGACGAUCUCUUGUAAAAGGGAAAGUAUUCUCAGGGAGCCACUCGCUAGCACUCGACCCCCACACAUCGUUUUACACGCUCUCCGCCCAGAACCCACAAGAGGGAGAUAGGAAGAGGAACAAAACUCCAAAAGAAAACAGCAAUCGACCAUGGAGAUGGCUGAUGUUCGUGGACGAACUCCCCGAGAUGCCCGGGCUUCGAGGAUAUAGAGUCAGGGAUGGCGUUCCGGCCGCUGGUAAUCUCACAAUCGGCAUGUACGAGAAGACAUGGGUUGUUCCCGUAAACCCUGCCCUUGUUAAUUAUUUAUUUUUUUCGGCCCAUGGUUUUUGAGCCGGUGAGUGGUGAGCUAUCGGUCCACCGGCGGAGCUGCGGAUCCAUCCCUAGACCAUCGAGGACUCUGAUCCAAUCAUCUCAUUCCAGCUAGUUCGUCUAAUAUCUGAUAAUUUCUUUUAGGUGCAAAAGUUUUUUUUUCUUUUCCGGUGAAUGAAAGAUCUAGGUGCAAAAGUUACAUAGAGAAAUCGCAAUUAGAAUAGUUAGAGAGGACGAUCCAUUUUCUUUGAUUGCAAACUCCGGUGCUAAUUUUCUCCGAGAUUUGGACCAGCAGUCACGGAAAAAUAUUCAUUGCAACAGUGAUAUUACAUUGUAUUUAUCAUAAUCAAUAAAAAUUUUUAUAUUUUAAUUAUUUUAAUAUAUUUUAUUAAUUUUUGUGAAUAAUAUAUUUCAUAUUAUUUUUUUAUAUUUUAUAAAUUUUUAAUUUUUUAUUAAUUUAUUAUUAAUAUGAUGUGGUAUCAUCGUUAUAAUAAAUAUUUUUUUUUGAAGCACACACCGUUCAAGGCUAAUGUUCUCCAUGUCUCAGUCUCUUACCUGGCAUCCCUGUUUUCUCGAAUGCUUUUUGGGAGGAAAAUAAAAUUAAAAUAAUAUUUUUGAGUUAAAUACUGUCUAAAUGCUAAGCAGCCUUGUGCUCCAAAAAAUCAUGAGUUUUCGAGAUAAAAAUAAACAACACAGACGAGUAGAGUUAGCAGAUAUUUGGGUUAGUUUAUUCUGCAACAAGUGAAAGGCCUGUGCAGUGUGAGGAAGAGAAAAAUUAAAAAAGAGGGCCUGUGCAAUGUACUGUAAGAAAGCGAUAGUUUCCUUUUUGGAUUUUGAGUAAAGUUUUUCUUUCUUAUUAAUGCAUCGGCAAGACAUGAUUGCCAUAUAUCAUCAUUCGUUUUAGUUCGACACCCUAUUUUGUUACCUGCACUCUCUCCUCCAUCUUUUAUUUACCUGUCGCGUUGGUGUCUGUAAUAGGAAAAUCAACACUACUAUAAUUCCCCCUCUUAGACCAGUAGUUCCCUAAAAAUUUUAGUAGGUCCACCCUUUUUUCUUUCUAAAUUUUUUUUGUUUUAGAUAUAGUUAGAAUUGAGCCAAAUCCAUUGUAUGAUGUAGCGGUAUUUUAUUAUCAUAAAAUAUAAUUACCCUCAUUUACUUAUUUAUUUAUUUAAUUUAUUUUAUCAGGCCGUUCGGAUUUCUCCAUGGACGAUGAUUUCAUUGAUUUCUUAUAUUAUUAAUUUUUAACUUUACCCUUUUUUAUUAUAUAUAUAUAUAUAUGACAGUAGUUCCACCGGGACCUCCCCCACUCGCUGGUCUCCCGCACUUUCUCUCUGUUUUUUGUUUUUUCGUUUAAUUCGCUGCAAAAAUCAAAAUAGUCACUGAGAUAUGAUCGUUAUGAUAAUUGUUCCCUGCGCACGAAUCACAAUGUCCAUUUGUAGACGGUCAGCUGGUGGCUGUCACCUCACACGUGACUCGUCAGAGGAUCUGAUUGCUCUUUUUUUUUUUUGGUUGUAUAAACGUUUGCUCCGGGGUUGGACGCUAGCGGAAGAGAGAUUCUUGGUUAGUCUAUCAUAAAUGCUGCGGAUAAAAUCAAUAAAAAAAUUCUGCAGCACUACUUUGACAGAAUUAAAUACAUACGUUACAGAUUAUGAUUUUUUUAUGGACUUUAUCUACAUCAUUUGCAGUAGUCUACCAAGAAUUUCUCCUAGUAGAGACAUGGCAUGGUGAAACGCAGCAUGGUCAGCUUUGUGAGAAAAAUAAAAUAAAAUAAGAUAACACGACAAGAUUAGACAUCAUAAUAUUUAAUAGUUAAAUGUAAAAGUAUUUCAAAAUUGAAGCACUCAAUGUCCAUAGCUCCGCAUUUCUUCUUGUUUGGUUAAAACGUCACGGCCUCUCGUUAUGACAUGGGUCCAAUCCCAUAUCGUUCCCGUAUGUCAAUUAUAAUAUGUAGGUCUGGUGCUGUCUAAAAAUAAGUGUACCAAAUCCCGUGUUCUGGAUAGUAACUUCCCGCGCGCGAGGGUUUCCACUGCCAUCGUUGAGUCUCCACUAGAUGAGGUCUUGGCCACACCAACGCAAUGUUACACACCUGACAUGAAGAUGUCAUCUCGUUCUUGCAUCGGGAUGUCAUAUCGUUCUUUUCUUGGUUCUCACUGGCCUGUCAUAUUUAGUUAGGAGCAAUUCUACCUGACCCUACCCUGUAAUCCAAAGUUGAAAAUAAGAGCACUAGGAGGUUUUUUGGGAUGCUGUUGCAGUCAACUUUUCAUCAUCGUCAAAAAUAAAUAUAUACAAAAUAAUAUUUAUAUAAAUUAAAUUUAUAUUUGAUAAAAAUCUUUCGAUAUGUAAGUUAGAAAAAAAAAUUGAUGAACAGAAACUGAAUAUAAACAGUCGCAGAGCUUUUGCCUGGCAUAAGUUUAUCAGUCUUAUUUUCUUUAUCCCCUUUUUAUAUAUGAAAUUUUCGUAACCAUCGAAUGUAGUCCCAUAUUUUACGACGCUAAAUCAUCGGACCAUAAUCACAUAGUAGAUUGUUAAUUCCCACUGAUCGCGCCGUGAUAUGCGGUCAGUAACCGUUGGUGACGGUUAUGAUAUAUUAAGCAGAUUGACCGACCAUAUGUCGGUAGGUUCCAUAAGGGACCAUCGACUAGUAGUUCUGUUAUGUCGAUGAUCUAAGUUGUCUGCUGUCGAUUGAUAAAAAUCGAAUCAUUAAUCGGUCAGCUGGUUAUAGGUCAGUGCGGUUCGUUCAAUUGAUCUAUGAAGAAUCGGAACCACAUAUUUAGUCGACGUAGAGUCGGAAUUGUAUGUCCAUUCGGUUGACUGUUGUUGAGUCGGAGUCGAUAGUCGGUUGCAUUGCAUCGGGGGUCGAUUGACUUACCCCAACGUUGUCCUCCACUCCCAAGUCCAAGGUGAGUCGACGUGUAUAUUACCACGUAAUUUAUCGCAUUGGACGAAGGGAGUUAUUUAUUGUCACAUCGAAUCUUGAUCGGCUAUUUUAUCGUAUUGGCAGGUAUAGUCAUCUGUCGCACUGACUGGACGAUUUCGUAUCAGUUGUCAGUGUCAGACGUUGUUUCGAAAAGUCGAUUCGAUGUUUGACGAUAUGAUUCUGACUAGUGAAUUUGUUUCAUGUAUUCGAAAGUUAUUGGGUCAGAAUUGUUGACGUGGAAAGAGGUGAAGUGACUCAAUCUGAAGCAGGUACGUCGAACCGUCCGAUCAAUGGUCGAUCCAGAUGUUGUCACGUAUCAUCAUCUGAUAGAUCUUCGAUUGACUGCCUCCAUCUCGAUCAUUGAGGGAUCCUAUAUAUAGGGUCACUCUCAGUCAAAUUUUUACUUUUCACUGCUUUUGCUGCUGGGACUCUGCCGGAUUGUUGUCCCAACAUUCAAAGUUAUCGCUCCCAAUUUUCAGGUUAACUUUAUCUUUCUUUCGAGUAUUUUCUUCUUUCCUCUAAAGUCUUCUGUCUUCUUCAAAGUUAUUCUCGUGGUUAGGGCUUCUCCUUCUUCGGAAGAUCGAUCGGAGAAUCCGACUGAUGAAUCCUAGUCAAGUCUGGAUGUGGAGUCCUCUUCGCUUUCGAGAUCGAAUGUCGAACGGCUCUGAAAAUAAUUUUGUAUCCCGGAGCAGUUUCAACUUUUCGCCCCUAAGGUUAAUGGUUGGAUGAAUAACCCACCUUCGGACCAAGUGGCCUUCUAUGUCGAAGAUCUUCGAACGGGUCUUCGAUUUUUAAUUUUAAAAUUUGUCCGAAAUAUUUUGGAUUAUUACGAACUUUGCCCAACUCAGCUGGCACCGAACUCGGUCCGACUGAUCAUUAGCUUUGCUUUGCUGUGUCGAAUGUUGUCAACCAUACCUCGUCCUUCUCUUUUUCGAGCUUUCUUCAUCCUCCGAUUUCUUUCGAAGGCCUGAGGGUGGUUGUUUUUCAACCCCUGAAACAGCCUUUCCUUUAUCAUCAGUCUUUCAUUUUCCAUUCAUGGAUGGAAGAACCAGUUUUUCUUUGCUUCUUCUUCCCUUGAAAUUUUUUUUCUCGUUGGGGCGAUCCUCGAACAGGUCCCAACGACAACAGUCAGGUAGAGAUCGACGACCAGGAGAACUUUCACCGGUUGAAGGACAUGUCGGUGCCAAAGCAGAAAGAGCUUGUAACCGAACAGGCCCUUUAUGACGCCGGCCUUAGUUCGGUUCCUCAUCGAUGUAUAGUAUAGUUGGUCAGUUAUUUUUGAUUUUUCUUUUACUUGCUGAAUUAUACUGACCUCCGUUGUAAUUGCAGCCAUACAGCAGAGGGUGCAAGUGUCGAAUGCUAACAUUCAUUUGCACGCUGCCAAGAAGAAGACAGCAUCUGAGGUCGGGCCUUCGCGACCAUCGAAGAGGUAUCAAGCACCGGCUCCAAUCGACGUUUCGACGUCAGUCAUGGAACUCGUGUCCCAUCGACAUCGAUUCUUGAACCAGUCUUGGCACUAUCAGCUCCGACAGUGCUCCCUGCUGCAUUGUCUGAGGAAAGGGCGGUGAAGGAAACUAUUGAAACAACAUCGGUAGUUUCGUCACCUGAGGUUCGAGCUGAGGCAAGAGAGCCCGAACAAUCUGCGACUACACCAGUUGCUCCUUCAAUUGGGGCGUAGUCAAGCUCAAGCUUCUCCUCACUUUUAAACAUUAGGCCGUCGACAACAGAUCGGGGGAAGCUCCGGUGGCAUCGGUGGAUGAUGUAGUGUCGGAGGGCCAUAUGGUGCAUUUGAACCUCCAAGUGCCCGUCGAUGAAUCAGCCCUGGCUAAUUCUGUACUGGCCAAGCGAUUGUGCUAGGCAACUCUCCUUCUGAUCGAUCAGAAGUGUUGGAGGAAACAGUCGGUGGUCGAAAUAUUUUCGUUCCUUUACCCGACCAUCAUUGGGGUAAGUCUCUUUGAUAAACUUUCUUUCUUUUUUUUUUAUAAUCCGACCUAUUUUCUGUCUGCAGUUGAUCCACGAUAUGUCUGACCUAGAGGUCGGCUAUACGAAGUUCGCCAACAUCCGCAGCGCGUGGAAGAAUAAGGUGGCAGCCACCGAUGCUGAGAAAGCGGCUGCACUUGAACAACUCAAGUCGGCAGUGGAGCGAAAAGUCAAACUUCAGGAGGAGGUUUUCUGACUCACUGAUAACUUGGCAUCCUUGGGGGCCGAACUUGCAUCGGCUCACGGGGCUAUUUCGGCUUUUGAAUCACAGAUCAAGAGCAAGAAGCAUUCUAUCCACCAGCUUUAAUGAGAGUUAAAUGGAUGCAUCGAAGAACUCGAAGUCGAAUGUGGAUAUCAUCGGACCAGUCUAAAAAGAUUGACACUGGCCGAAGAAAAAUUAUCCUCUGCUCGAGUCGAUGCUGAUUUGGCCAAGGUGGAAGCAGAGUCGGCAAGAGAAGCACUGAGUCAGACAGUUGAGGAUUUUCGAGGUUCGAAAGAAUACAGGAAAGAGAUCCUCGAAAAUGGCUAUGCUUCAUACUGCGUCGGGUAUGAAGACGAUCGAGAUGUGGUCGGAAAACUAUACCCAAAUCUCGACUUGAGCAGCAUCGUCCCUCCAAGAUCAGAAGAUGGAGUUGCUAAAGAAGAAGCCGUUCUGAUUCAAGAAGAAGCCGUUCUGAUUCAAGAAGAAGCACCGACUGAGCCUGAAAUUGUUCAAAUUGAGGAUCCUACACCCGAGCAACGAAAUGAUGAUGAAGCUUAGUCGGUGUAUUUUACUUCUUUUUUUGCAAUCAGAUAUCUGUAAUCGAACUUCGGUCUAAUUUUGUAGCUUCUUGUUUAAGCAAUGAAUGAAAGUAUUUUUUUCUAAGUUUAAACUUUAUUCAUCUGAAAUAUUGUCUGCAAUGUCUGCAAUGUAAAGUAGUCACCGAACAUUAAUCGAUGAUCCAAUCAUUCGGUAAGACUUGUAGAAUAUCUGUUAGUCGCGUAGUCAUUUUGACAUACUUGAUAGAAAUUAAGAUAACGAUUGUAAAUCAAAUAUCCCGUGCCCGACAUUUAGUCAGAUUUGUACGUCGAAUUAUCUGAUAAUAGGUAGCAAGCCGAAUAUCCCUCGACUGGCCGUAGCCUGGUUAGUAUAGUUUCAAUCCGACUUUGAUCGUUUUGACAUUUUAUUCUGCUUAGUUAGAACUAAGUUGGCAUAUUAGUCUCUUAACUGUAGUCAGCUUUUACAAUAAAAAAUCGAUAUUAAAAAUUGAGAUAUAAUCAGUAUUAUGAUUUUUGCAGUGAAAGCCUAUGUAGUCGAUGUCGGUUGAGAUUGCAGUCAGUAUGUCGGUUUUUGCAUGAGAAUCAAAAUACAGUCAUCAUUGAAGUAGUUGAUUCUUCUAUUUUUAUAGUGGAGGCUGAGAUAAACUUCAUGUCAAAGUAUAGUAGAUAGCUCGAUUUUAGUAAUGAAAGUCGAUAUAUAGCCAGUAGUUGAUAAAACUUGUCAAAGGCUUGUGAUUCUGAAAUUCUUAUUAUAUUUUAAAUAAUGUACAUAUCGACACCUUUAUUGAUAAUAUAUCUUCAAAUUGUCAGCAUUUCAUGUUCAGAGAAUUGCUCGAUCCUUUGAGAGUUUCUAGCCGAUAUGUGUUCGGUCUAAGAGUUUUCGAUAUUUUGUAAGAUCCUUCUCAGUUCGGAGAUAAUUUUUUUUGAUCCAGAAGUUUUGAGAUUUCUAUUUUUCUUAAGACCAAAUCUCCUGAUCGAAAAAUCUUGGCUUGACUCUUACGUUGUAAUACGGGGCUAUCCUUUGCUGAUAUGCAGCCAUCCAAACUUGAGCUUGCUGUCGGAGUUCUGAGAGGAGAUCUAAGUCGGCUCUCCAGCAUUCAGAGUUGCUCGGCUCACUGUAUUGUCCCACUCUUGUUGACGGCAAUCCGAUCUCAAGCGGUAUCAUUGCUUGUGUCCUAUAAGCUAAGUUGAAGGGAGAUUCUUCAAUUGGUACGUGGGGAGUCGUUCGACACAUCUAUAAGAUUGGAUAUAAUUCUUCUACCCAGAGAUCUUUAGCUUCAUUCAGUCGGGUUUUUAGUCCAUAUAGGAUUGUCUGGUUGGUUACUUCCACCUCGCCAUUUGACUGUGGAUAGCCAACUGACGUGAGUUUGUACGUAAUAUGGAACUUCGUACAAAACUCUCUGAAAUUUUGGUUGUCAAUAUCGACCAUUAUCAGUGAUGAUGGUGUGUGGUAAAUCAAAUCUAUAAAUGAUGAAUUUCUGAAUGAAGUCUUCUAUCUUACUUUCAGUGAUUUGUGCCAGAGAUUCGGCUUAUACAUAUUUGGUAAAGUAGUCGAUGACGAUCAAUAUAAAUUUUUUUUGUCUAGAUAUCGGGAGAAAAGAGCCAAGUAUGUCAAUCCCCUGUUGUACGAAGGGUUAUGGUGCUACAAUCGACGUCAGCUGACUUGCCGUUUGAUGUUGUAUAUUUGCAUACUUUUAGCAUGAUUCACACCUUCGGACGAGUUUAGCUGCACUUCUUUCAUGAUGGGCCAGUAAUAUUCUUAUCACAGAACUUUAUGAGCUAGAGACUUACCCCCCAAGUGGUUUCCACAUAUCCUUUGGUGCACUUCUCUAAGUGUGUAGUCGGCAUCUGUAGGUCCUAAGCACUUCAGCAAGGGGAGAGAAAAAGAUCUUUUGUAGAGAUGACUAUUCAUUAUUACAUAUUGAGAGGCCAUCCAUCAGAGUCGUUUAGCUUCUGAAGAGUCUGCAGGAAGGGUCUCAUCGAUCAGGUAUUGAACGAUCGGAUCCAUCCAGCUUGCUUCGAUAGUGAGCUGCAAUACCUCCUCGACUUUAUCGAUACUCAAAUGUUCGAGGCAUUCAACAAAUAUCCGAUCCAGCGAGUUGAAAGCAGUGACAGUCAGUCAUGAAAGUAUGUCUGCUCGAGUAUUUUCGAUUCUAGAAAUCUGAAAGAUCUCAAAAUAUUUCAAGCUUGCAGUAAAAUCUUUCACCUUCUGAAGGUACUUCAUCAUAAUGGGGUCGCGGGCUUCAAAUUCAUUUUUGAUCUAUCCAGCAAUCAGUUGUGAGUCGGUGAAGACCUUCAAACUGUAAAUCUCAAGCUCCUUGACUAUUUUCAAGCCGAUCAAAAGUGCUUCAUAUUCGGCUUAAUUAUUUGAGACUUUAAAGUUGAACCGAAGGGCAUAUUCAGUAACUACCCCUUCGAAAUUAUGAAUAUGAGGUCAGCUCCACUACCUUGUGCAUUAGAUGCACCAUCAAUGUGCAGCACCCAGGUCGACUUUGAGUCGGAUUUGAAAAUCGUAGCCUUUUUUAUUAUGUUGUCAUCUGUAUCUUCUGGCUUAUUGUCGAAUAUAGUAUAUUCGAUGAUAAAAUCGGCUAGAACUUGCGCCUUCAUAGAUGGUCAUGGGUGAUAUUGAAUGUCAAACUCAUCAAGCUUCACUCCCACUUUAUCAUCCGACCUGAAGUGUCAGGUCAAUGUAAGAUUGCCUUCAGCGGCUGAUCUGUCAGACCACAAUCGAAUUGGCUUGGAAGUACGGACGAAGUCGCUAUGCCGAUAUGAUUAGGGCGUAAAUUAUUUUCUCCAUUCUUGAGUAUCGGACUUCGGCAUUGUGAAGUACUUUGUUGGUGUAGUAGAUUGAUCGAUGGAUUCGAUUCUCAUCUUUCUGGACGAGCACCGAACUAACCACUUCUGUCGAAGUUGCCAAGUAGAGAUACAAUAUUUCUCCGACCCUUGGUUUUGUGAGCAAAGGUGGAGAAGCCAAGUAUUAUUUCAGAUCUUUGAAGGAUUGUCGGCAUUCAUCCAACCAUGAGAAAUCUUUCGUCUGUCGCAAAAUUUUGAAGAAUGGCAAGCAUCUCUUGGCCGACCUAGAAAUAAAUCAGCUGAGUGCAGCAAUCCUUUCAUUGAGUUGCUGUAUCUCUUUCUUCGAGCUUGGAUGCUUCAUAUUGAUAAUGGCUUUGAUUUUUUCGGGAUUAAUCUUGAUUCCUCAUUGUGAAACAAAAAAUUUGAAGAAUUUUUUGAAGGUUACCCCAAAUGCACACUUAGUCAGGUUUAAUUUCAUCUGAUGCCGUCGGAGUGUGUCGAAAGCUUCCUCCAGGUCCCGAACAUGAUCUGAAGUUUGGGAGCUGUUCACCAGCAUGUCGUUCACAUAUACUUCCUUGUUUCAUCCGAUCUGUGUCUUGAAUAUCUUGUUGACAAGCCGUUGAUAGGUAGCACCGGCAUUUUCAAAGCGAAAGGCAUUACUUUGUAGCAGUAUAUGUCUUUGUCGGUCAUAAAAGCCGUAUGCUUUUUAUUUUCUGGUGCCAUACGGAUUUGAUUAUAUCCAACGAAGGUAUCCAUGAAACUCAAAAGUUGGUGGGCAGAAGUCGCAUCAACCAAUUGAUCAAUUUUUGACAACGAGAAGCUGUCUUUCGGAUAAGCUACAUUCAGAUCAGUAUAGUCGAUGCAUAUCCUUCACUUUCCAUUGACUUUUCUUACCAUUACCACAUUGGCAAGCCAGUUGGGAUAUGUAGCUUCUCUAAUGAAACUUGCUGCGAGGAGUUUGUCGACUUCUUCAUCAAUGACUUUUUAUCUUUCAGGAGCAAAAUGUCGCUUUUUCUGUCUCACCGGCUUAACAUUUGAGUUGAUGUUAAGUCGGUGAGUUAUUAUUUUUGAAGGAAUCCCAGACAUAUCGGUGGUCGACAAGCAAAAAUAUUGGUAUUGGCUCUAAGUAAUUUUAUUAGUUGUUGCCACUUUGAGUCGGAUAGUUGUGAUCCAAUUUAUUUAUCGGUCAGCCGGUCAUAGGUCGGUGCAGUUCGUUCAAUUGAUCGAUGAAGAAUCGAAAUCGCAUAUUCAGUCGAUGUAGAAUCGAAGUUAUAUGUUCGAUUGAUCGACUGUUGUUGAAUCAAAAUUGAUAAUCAGUUAUACUGUAUCGAAGGUUGAUUGAUUUAUCCCAAUAGAUGCCAUCAAUGUGACACGGUAGCGUCACAAGCCGCUCAAACCGGUAUGUUUUCUAUAUUUGUAAGGAUUUUUCUUUUAGUCGUUUGAUUGUUCCUUUGUUCUAAAGUCUUCUGCUACUUCUCCCUCUUAACAUCUGUAUCAGCAGUGGGGCACCCACCACCAGUCAUAUUUAAAUCCGCCACUGCCUUCAACAUUUAUCUUGGACUUUCCCACCUAACUUGUGCACCACCAGUGCCUCCAUUUUGUCCACCACUAAACCAAGAUGGCAAACAUUUGCAUCACUGAAAAAUCACCACCAUUAUAACCAAAUCCAAUCAGAUUCUUGUGAUGUGUUUCUAGUCAGAGUGGACAUGUACGUCUCUGACUGAUCGUCAGAGUGGAAAGCUAGUAGUCUCUCUCUUUUUGGAGAAACUGAACCAAAAAAAAAAUAUAUUAGCCUUCUAAUUAAUUUCUUGCUUUUUCUUCCUUUUUUUUUUUUUUUGAUAGUUUAAACUAACUUCUUGCUUGUAUUUACUAGGGUUUUAAUUAACUUCUUGCCUGUAUUUAUAGUUUGUUAAAAGAAUUUGAACUGACUAUAUUAUUUUUUCAAAUUGCAAUGCAGAUUUUAGAUCAUGAAGAUAACGAAAUGAUGAGGCCCUUAAAGCUCAUAUCUUGAGAGAUCAGGCACUAUUGAUGGAUCAAAAGGUCAGGUUCUGUCUAAACGGAUAUUGAAUUAAUAAAGGAGAAAAGCAAUCAUGCUAUUUAUCAUAGUAAAUUAAGUAUCUAAAGAUUAUAUUUGCCAGGUUGCAACCAUAAUAUCAAAUGUGAUUAACUUUUACAGAGCUAACAAAAAUGACUACUAAUACAAACAUUUCGAGUGGAGAUUCGGCGCAAUGCAUACCAACCAGCAAGACACUACAUAUACCGAGUACUGAAUGAGUAGUUGGUGUGCAUAGAAACCAUUGACACUAUAUUUAAAUAAAUUACAAAUGCUGCCAACCAUAUUGUAUAUACUCUAGAAUGUUCAAAUACCUGUGCUUAAAUUGUAUUAGGCCAUGACGAUAAGUAUAUUUUAAGGAGUUAAGAUUAUGGAGGUUCGCACUAUUUUAAAGAAAAUGCAACACCGAAGAAUUAUCUUAGAAUUAGCUUUCUCUCCACCAGUCUUAGCUUAGCUAAUUCCCACUUGCCGUAUGGGAGAAGCUCAAGAUUCAAAUCGCAUGUCCAGUCUUAUUUCUUUCAAAAAAAGAAAGAAAUAGUGGUAGUUUUUCGGCUCCUUCGGUCGCACCUUUCCAGUUGAAAUUACAAGGCGUUUGUUUAAGCACGGUUUGAAUUGGACAGUUUGCAGCAGAUAUCGACACAAAUGUAGCUAUCAAUUUCUAAAAUGAUGCUCAUCACCAAUAUGUGAAAACUGGCAUGAAUUUAAAAAAGAAAUGUGAAGAUUUAUUAAAAUGAGUAAUACUAUAAAUGAAUCGAUUACAUUAUACAUAUAGAUACCACGGCAUAUAGAAACUAGAAACGACAUGAAGACGUGGAUGCAUGCUUUAAUAAGUUACAGUAUUUCAUAAAACUUCUCUCACAGGGACCACUAGUUAAAACCCCAUAAAUACCUAGGUACAAUACUUAGAACUUUCUAACUCCAAAAACAAUAACCAUGCAGGGCUAUUAGAUCACAAUCAGACAUAUGCUUCAUCCAAUUCCUAGGAUUUCCAAUCCUUCUGCACCCACUGGUGACCAACAAAGGUUUUGCUUGUAUGACUAGCGUCUUUCUUCAAGGAAGCAUCUUUAUCGGCCGAUUCAUAGCAUUGUCCUCAUGAUCCAAUAUCUGCAAAAUAGAUAUGCGAGUGAGUGAGUAAAUCCAUCUUAGGCAUUAGGAACAAAGAUGGGCUUAAAGCAUGGCUGAUAGUAAUCACUUGGGCCGGCUUGGCAGGGCAAGCUGGUUUAAUCUUGAGGGUCAAAUAGAUCAGGCUGAGAUCAACUUUCUUAUGGGCUAAGAAUGCGCGUGUAUUGUCUUAUGCGCGUCCACUUUGACUAGUAUCCCCUGCAAGCCUAAUGCCUAAAAUGUACGGAUCCUCUGCGUUGCGAUACAUGCAGUGCGUGAUUCCAUACAACUGUCCAUCAUACGAUGGAUAAUAUGUAUGAUACAUUGUAUUAAAUGGUGCAUCGUGUGUACAGCAGAGGAUCCACACCCAAGGCUAAAACCACCAUUACAGACUCACUGGUUGUGCCUAUCUUGAAGAUUAUAUAUCAUGCCCCCGAUCCGAGAUUUUGAAUCGAGGGUCAUGGCAACCACCGCAUACUCAUAGAAAACUCUUCCCAUAAGCAUGCAAGGCAUCUUAUCAUACUAUCCUAAAACAACAGCGGAAUAAUUAANNNNNNNNNNNNNNNNNNNNNNNNNNNNNNNNNNNNNNNNNNNNNNNNNNNNNNNNNNNNNNNNNNNNNNNNNNNNNNNNNNNNNNNNNNNNNNNNNNNNNNNNNNNNNNNNNNNNNNNNNNNNNNNNNNNNNNNNNNNNNNNNNNNNNNNNNNNNNNNNNNNNNNNNNNNNNNNNNNNNNNNNNNNNNNNNNNNNNNNNNNNNNNNNNNNNNNNNNNNNNNNNNNNNNNNNNNNNNNNNNNNNNNNNNNNNNNNNNNNNNNNNNNNNNNNNNNNNNNNNNNNNNNNNNNNNNNNNNNNNNNNNNNNNNNNNNNNNNNNNNNNNNNNNNNNNNNNNNNNNNNNNNNNNNNNNNNNNNNNNNNNNNNNNNNNNNNNNNNNNNNNNNNNNNNNNNNNNNNNNNNNNNNNNNNNNNNNNNNNNNNNNNNNNNNNNNNNNNNNNNNNNNNNNNNNNNNNNNNNNNNNNNNNNNNNNNNNNNNNNNNNNNNNNNNNNNNNNNNNNNNNNNNNNNNNNNNNNNNNNNNNNNNNNNNNNNNNNNNNNNNNNNNNNNNNNNNNNNNNNNNNNNNNNNNNNNNNNNNNNNNNNNNNNNNNNNNNNNNNNNNNNNNNNNNNNNNNNNNNNNNNNNNNNNNNNNNNNNNNNNNNNNNNNNNNNNNNNNNNNNNNNNNNNNNNNNNNNNNNNNNNNNNNNNNNNNNNNNNNNNNNNNNNNNNNNNNNNNNNNNNNNNNNNNNNNNNNNNNNNNNNNNNNNNNNNNNNNNNNNNNNNNNNNNNNNNNNNNNNNNNNNNNNNNNNNNNNNNNNNNNNNNNNNNNNNNNNNNNNNNNNNNNNNNNNNNNNNNNNNNNNNNNNNNNNNNNUUUUGCUUCUUUUUCCCUUUUUUUUCUUUUUUUUCUUUUCUUUUUCUUUUUCUUUUCCUUCUUUUUCUUUUCUUUUUUUCUUUUUCUUUUCCUUCUUCUUCUUCUUCUUUUUCUUUUCUUCUUCCCGUGGGCUUGUUUUUGAUCGAAACAGGAGAUCUUUGAUCCCCUCAUUGGUUGGUCGGUCGGCGGCGCAGCCGGCACGAGGAUGGUCGGCGGCCGAAAGAGAGGUGAUCCGGCGGCAAGAGGCGGCCAAACCGGUGGUCGGCGGUGACCACCGGCGACGAAAAAAUGGCAAAAAAGAAGAUUCUUCCGCAACAAAAUCUGGCGACUCCGGUCGCUGGCGAGCGUGCACAUCGGCACGGAAAGGAAGGGAGAGGAGAGAGAAAGGGGAGGAGGCUUACCUCCGUCGCUGGCGAAGCUUUUCCGGCGAGAAAUUGGAUGGCACAGUGACGGGUCUCCACGAGGAAUUUUCGGCGAUUGCCGCCGUUUUGCCCCAGGAUUCUUUGGUAGGAAGAAGGAAGAAGGGUCUCCCCUUUAAAUAGAAUCGGAGGAGAGGAGUUUGACUCCUCUCCGAUGAGGUUUCUGACUCCGAUUAGGAGCCGGUCGGGAGAAGAAGACUCCCUGCGGGAGUCUUCUUCAUUUUUUUUUCUUUUGUUUGGACUUUGGAUUCGUUGCUUGGGCCGGGCCUCACAUUAUAUUUUUUAAGUCCUCUUGUAACAGAUUACUAUAUCCACUCGGACCUAACUGGAUCAGGUUUCAUUCAGAAAUUUCCUUCUCAGACCCGCACCCUAGCCGUAAAUUUAAACUUGGUUCACGGAUCUGCGAUCUUUUUGACCUACUGAAUUUGCUUUCAAUAUCGUGGAUGCUGAUGGGUCAGACCAAUUAAGAGAGUGUUUGAUUGUACAUUUUGAUUUUUAAUUUUUAAUUUUUAAUUUUUAAAUAUAAUACAUGUAAAAGACAUAAAUAUAAAGUUCUUCGAAUAUAGACCAUGGUAUGCUAUAAUUUUAACCAAAAUAUAAUAAUUUUAACUUAAAAUAUCAUAAUUGUUAAUCUAGAAUGUCAUAAUACUGUCAUAAUAUCGAUUUAGAAAAUCAAAAUUUUGACUUAAGAUAUCGUAAUAUUGUCAAAACAAUCAUCAGGAGGUAUUUUACCUAGAAGAUGUCAUAAUUUUAACAUAGAAUGCUAUAAUUUUGAUCCAAAAUAUCAUAAAAUUAUCAAAAAAAUUAAUUUUGAGGUGUUUUAUAUAUAAGAUGUCAUAAUAUUAAUCUAAGAUAUCAUAAUUUUAACCGAAGAUAUCAUAAUAUUGUCAAAACUAUCUUUGAAAGAUAUUUUACCUAAAAGAUAUCAUAAUUUUAACAUAGAAUAUCAUAUUCUUGAUUUAGGAUAUUAUAAAAUUAUCAAAAAAUAUUAAUUUUAAAAAAUUUUACCUUCUACAUGCCAUAAUAUUAAUCUAUAAUAUUAUAAUUUUAAUCUGGUAUGUCAUAAUAUUAUCAUAAAAUUAUCAAAAGUAUCAAUUUUAAGAUAUUUUAUCUUCUAAAUGUCAUAAUAUUAACCUAAAAUAUAUAUCAUAAUUUUGAUCUAGGAUAUCAUAACAUUGUCAAAACUAUCUUUGUGAGGUAUUUUACUUACAGAAUAUCAUAAUUUUAAUAUAUAAUAUCAUAAUUUUGAUUUAAGAUGUCAUAAGCUUAUCAAAAUUAUCUUUAUAAGAUAUUUUACUUAUAGGAUGCUAUAAUUUUAACAUAGAAUAUCAUAAUUUUGAUGUAGAAUAUCAUAAAAUUAUUAAAAAAUAUUAAUUUUAAGAUAUUUUAUCUUUUAUAUAUCAUAAUAUUAACAUAAAAUAUCAUAAUUUUGAUUUAGAAUAUCAUAAUAUUAUUAUAAAAUUAUUAAAAAAUAUUAAUUUUGAGGUAUUUUAUCUUUUGGAUGUCAUAAUAUUAAUCUAAAAUAUUAUAAUUUUGAUCUAAAAUAUCAUAAUAUUAUCAAAACUAUUUUUAUGAGAUAUUUUACUUGCAGAAUGUCUAAAUUUUAAUAUAAAAUAUCAUAAUUUUAAUUUAAGAUAUCAUAAAAUUAUCAAAAAAUAUCAAUUUUAAUAUAUUUUAUAUAUCUUGUGUAUAUUAUAAUAUUAAUCUAGAAUGUCAUAGUUUUGAUCUAGGAUGUGAUGAUAUUAUCAUAAAAUUAUCAAAAAAUAUUAAUUUUGAGAUGUUUUACCUUCUGGAUAUCAUAAUAUUAAUCUAUAAUAUCAUAAUUUUGAUUUAGAAUAUCAUAAUAUUGUUGAAACUAUCUUUAAGAGAUGCUUUACCUAUAGGAUGCCAUAAUUUUAAUAUAGGAGUCAUAAUUUUAACAUAAGAGUUAUAAUUUUAAUAUAAAAUAUUAUAAUUUUGAUCUAAGAUAUCAUAAAAUUGAUAAAAAAUUAUCAAUUUUGAGUUAUUUUACCUACAGGAUAUCAUAAUAUUAAUCUAAAAUAUCAUAAUUUUGAUCUAAAAUAUUAUAAUAUUAUUAAAAUUAUUUUUAAAAGAUAUUUUAUCUACAAGAUAUCAUAAUUUUAAUAUAAAAUAUCAUAAUUUUGAUCUAGAAUACUAUAAACUUAUUAAAAAAUAUUAAUUUUAAGAUAUUUUUAUCUUUUGAAUAUCAUAAUAUUAGUCUAGAUUAUCAUAAUUUUGAUGUAGAAUAUCAUAAUAUUAUCAAAAUUAUCUUUGAAAUAUAUUUUACCUAUAGAAUAUCAUAAUUUUAAUAUAAAAUAUAAUAAUUUUAACAUAAAAUAACAUAAUUUUGAUUCAGGAUAUCAUAAUAUUGAUAAAAAAUAUUAAUUUUGAGUUGUUUUACCUAUAGAAUGUCAUCAUAUUAAUUUAAAAAAUUAUAAUUUUAAUUUAAGAUAUUAUAAUAUUAUCAAAAUUAUCAUUGAUAGGUAUUUUACUUAUAAGAUGUCAUAAUUUUAAUAUAAAAUAUGAUAAUUUUGAUCUAAGAUACCGUAAAAUUAUCAAAAAGUAUCAAUUUUGAAGUGCUUUAUCUUCUGGAUGUCAUAAUAUUAACAUAAAAUAUUAUAAUUUUGAUUUAGAAUAUCAUAAUAUUAUCAAAAUUAUCUUUGAAAGAUAUUUUAUCUAUUGGAUAUCAUAAUUUUAAUAUAAAAUAUCAUAAUUUUUAUCUAAAAUAUCAUAAAAUUAUUAAAAUAUAUCAAUUUUGAUAUAUUUUACUUUUUGAAUGUCAUAGUUUUAACAUAAAAUAUCAUAAUUUUGAUCUAUAAUAUUAUAAAAUUAUCAAAAAAUAUCAAUUUUGAGAUAUUUUAUCUUUUGGAUAUAAUAAUACUAAUAUAAAAUAUCAUAAUUUUGAUCUAAGAUGUUAUAAUAUUAUCAAAACUAUUUUUAGAAGAUAUUUUAUCUAUAAAAUAUCAUAGUUUUAAUAUAGAAUAUCAUAAUUUUGAUCUAAAAUAUCAUAAAUUGAUAAAAAAUAUAAAUUUUGAGAUAUUUUACCCACAUGAUGUCAUAAUAUUAACUUAAAAUAUUUUAAUUUUGAUCUAGGAUACCAUAAUAUUAUCAAAACUAUCUUUGAAAUAUAUUUUACCUACAGGAUGUCAUAAUUUUAAUAUAAAAUAUCAUAAUUUUGAUAUAGAAUAUCAUAAAAUUAUUAUAAAGUAUCAAUUUUAAGAUGUUUUAUCUUUUAGACAUCAUAAUAUUAACUUAAAAUAUUAUAAUUUUAAUUUAGGAUAUCAUAAUAUCAUCAAAACUAUCUUUGAGAGAUAUUUUAUCUAUAGGAUGUUAUAAUUUUAAUAUAAAAUAUCAUAAUUUUGAUCUAUAAUAUCAUAAAAAUAUCAUAAAAUAUACUUGAAAGAUAUUUUAUCUAUAGAAUAUCAUUAUAUUAAUCUGUAAUAUCAUAAUUUUGAUUUAGAAUAUCAUAAUAUUAUUAAAAUUAUUUUUAAAAAAUAUUUUUUUAUAGGAUGUUAUAAUUUUAACCUACAAUAUCACAAUAUGAAUCUAUAAUGCUAUAAUUUUUGCUUUAGAUGUCAUAAUAUUAUAAAAAACUAUCUUGAAUAGAAAUCAUGACAUCCUGGCUUAUUAUAUAAUUUUUUGAAAAAAAUUAUAUAUAUGACACGCUGUAUUCAGAACUAAAAAAAGAAAAACUCCAUUUAAACCUAUCAAAUGAAUUGUUGUAAUAAAGGAACUACAAAAAAAAUUGUAAUAAAGGAUUUACAAAUGGUAUUUCACUUUCUAAUGGUUUGGAUAUAUUAUUUAGAUAGACAAUAUUAUCCAAAUAUUAGCCAAUAGCCUCGAAUGUACAAUUCUCAUCGCAGAAUAAAUCUCGGACAUCUAGACAUUAAGGCAAAAGCUUAACAAAAUAAAAAAAAUGAGAGAGAGAAGAGCCGCAUUCGUAAUGUCCAUCCCGACUUCAAAAUAGUAAAAAUAUUUUAUUUUGAAGGCAAAAAGGGUAUUUUAGUUAUAUUUAAUUUAAAAAAUAAGCUAUGACGUGCAUUAAAUAUAUUCGACGAUGGAAUAAUGCACUGCCUCUAAUUUUUUUAAGCCUUCAAAUAUCUGAUUUGACAUAAAGUGACAUCUAUCACAUCAUACCACGAGGACGCUAUGUAGAUCAAUUAGAUAAUACGAUGCGCUCCACAUCAAAUUUUCUACACUGUAGGCAGUGUACAAAGAAUUUCACAAGAUGAAAAGGGGUCUCAAUUUUUCAAAAAGCUAUUUGCAUACGGCAAAUCGUGCAUCCUCUUAGAUCUAAUCGCAGGUUGGGCUUGAGCCUAGAAAAUAUUAAAUUUUAUAUAAAUUUGAUCUGAAGCUUGAUUAGAAAUGAAUAGAGUUUAGAUUCAAACCUCAGCCCAUGAUCAGCUCUACUUACAAAACCACAUUCAUGUGUCCGCUAGUAGCUGCUGGUGCAACCUACACCUAUGAAAGCUCUCCAAAGUCCAAUUAUUUUCACAUCAAGUGUCAUAUGACCUCCUCAAUACUUCAAUCUUAAAAAAAAAAAAGUAAAAACUCCCAAUAAGUCCUACUUUCGAAUAAAAAAAAUAUAUCAUUGUGUUCUACUUUUGAAAAAACAAAAAUAUCAUUCUUUAUGCAAUCAAUUUAAUGAAUUCUUCAAUUAGCUCUGUUCAUAUAUGCUACAGUUUUGGGUUACUAUAAAUGUAACCUUGAGAUAGUCUCAUAACGCAUCGUCCGUGUCAAAAAAAAUUUAUCGUUGCAAUCAAGCUUUACCUAGCGACAGUCACUACAAGAAAAGAGAGUUUUUAUAAUGAAUUUAUUGACGAUGAAAAUAUUUUCAUUAUCAAUAAGAUUAUUUAUGAUGAAAAAUUAAAUUCAUUGUUAAUAAUAAAAUAUUUAUGAUAAAAAUUUAUUUUCAUCAUAAAUAGCUUCAUAUUUGUGAUGAAAAAAAAAUUUUAUCAUAAAUAUCUAUUAUUUAUGAUGAUAUUAAUCAUCAUGAAUAAUAAAAUAUUUAUUUUAAUUUUAAAUUUUUAAAUAUUAAUGAUGAAAAUAAUUUUAUCAUAAAUAAUAUAAGUAUUUGUGAUGAAAGCUCAUUUUUCAUCGCAAAUACUAGUUAUUUACAAUGAAAAAUUUUUAUCACUAAUAUUUGAAAGAAAAUAAAAAAUUUAAAAAUUAUAAAUUAUUUACAAUGCAAAUAUUACAUUGUAAAUAAUAAAGUAUUGAUGAUAAAAAUAAAAUUUUUCAUCAUAAAUACCUAUUAUUUAUGACGAAACUUUUUUCAUCGCUAAUAUGUGAAAAAAAUAAAAAAUUUAAAAAAUUUAAAAAUUAUAGAUUAUUUGUAACAAAAAUAUUACAUCAUAAAUACUUGAAUAUUGAUGAUAGAAAGUCAUUUUUUAUUGCCAAUACUAAUUAUUUAUGAUGAAAAAUUUUCAUCACUAAUACGUGAAAAAAAUAAAAAAUUUAAAAAUUUAAAAAUUAUACAUUAUUUAUGAUGAAAAUAUUACAUCAUAAAUACUGGAGUAUUGGCGAUGGAAAGUCAUUUUUCAUCGUCAAUACUCUACUAUUUACGAUGAAAAAUUUUUAUCAUUAAUAUUUAAAAAAAUAAAAAAUUAUAAAAAUUAUAAAAAUUAUAAAUUAUUUACGAUGAAAAUAUUAUAUCAUAAAUAACUUAGUGUUUGCGAUAAAAAUAUAUUUUUCAUCAUAAAUAAUCUAUUAUUUAUAAUAAAAAAAUUAAAAAUUGAUCAUUAUUUGCGAUAAUACUUUUCAUUUCUAAGUUUCUUUGAAUCUGUCUCAUUGUUUAAUUUUACAUAGAUUGUUGGUUCCAUGAACCGACAAAGGUCACAAAGUAUAAAGACCUUGUAUCUGUCCAAAAAUAUAAAAAGAAGAUGAUACUAGAUCUUUAUAUGUUAAAAUAUGAUCUACAAAAAAGUUAUUCAUAUGGUACUUAAUCUUUAUACAUUAAAAUAUGAUACUAGAUCUCAAUUAUUUACGAUAAAAAAUUUUUAUCAUUAAUAUUUAAAAAAAUAAAAAAUAAAAAAUUAUUGAUUAUUUAUAAUAAAAAUUCAUCAUUGAUAUUUUUUAAAAAAUAAAAAAUUUAAAAAUUAUAAAAAUUAUAAAUUUUUUUGUGAUGAAAUGCAAGAAAUAUCGUAAAUACUUCAUAUACUUAAACUUUCAACUGUAUAAAAAAUAAAAGUUUAUCAACUAUUCGAUGGACUAAAUUGUGUCAUAUACUUCUAAACUGCAUGCAGAAGGCCUUUGCUAGAUCCUUCAGUAUUAUUUUUGAAGAGUAUAUUCAUGAUCUUAAUUGGUAUGCGAUGAUUGUUUGUCGCAGAUACUCUCUAACUAGCUGUAUUCUUAUUAUUGCUAUUCAGUUCAAGAUUUAUUCUAAGAUUGACAUACUCUUGGGCAGAUAUUAUCCUUUUUACUAUGCUCCUUUUGUAUCGGAUCUCAAGGGUCUUAGCUGCUUGCAGAUUAAAUUUGAGUUCGGAUGUCCAUUCAAACCUUUCGAUCAACUCAUGGCAGUGUUACCAUCAAAAAAGUAAAUCUAAUUACUUAGAUUUUUUAAUUAUAAAUUAUAUUUGAUUAUUAGUUAAUAGUCUAAUAAGAUUAUUAAUGAUUAAAAUUUAAUUUUCAUUGUAAAUAAUUUUUUUAAUAAGAUUUUUUAAGAGAAAAAAUUUUUUUAAUAAAAUUUUUUUUAUUUUUUUGAUAGAAUUAUUGACGAUGAAAAAUUAGUUUUCGUAACAUUAUCGACGAUGAAUAUUUUUCAUCGUAAAUAUUUUUUUUAUUUUUUGACAAGAAUUAUUAGCGAUGAAUAUUAUUUUUUGUUGCUAAUAAGAUAAUUAACGAUGAAAUAUUUUAUUUUUAUCUUAAAUAAUUUUUUAAAAAAUGAGAAUAUUUUUUUUUGAUGAAAAUUAUUAGCGAUGAAAAUUAUUUUUCCAUCGCUAAUAAUAUUAUUAGCGACGAUAAUUUUUUUUCAUCAUAAAUAAUUUUUUUUUGUGGCAAAAUUUUUUUAUCGAAGAAAUUUUUUUGGUGGGAAGAGAAUUUUUUUAGCGAGAAAAUGGGAGAAAUUUUUUUUUGGCGAGAAUUAUUAACGAUAAAAAAUAUUUUUUCAUCGCUAAUAAGGUUAUUAGCGACGAAAAAUUAUGUUUUGUCGCAAAUAAUUUUUUUUGUGGCAAAUUUUUUUUUAUCGAAGAAUUUUUUUUGAAUUAUUAGUGAUAAAAAUUAGUUUUCAUCGCUAAUAAUAUUAUUAGCAACAAAAAAUUACAUCACUAAUACUCUUACUUUCAUCAACAUCAAAUCGACGUCUCUUUGUGCGAAACCGCUUGAAACCCUUAUUUCCCCCACCCCCCCUCUCUUCUUUCCCUGACCUCUCUCCCUCUCCCUCUCCCUGAGCUCUCCUCUCUCCAUGCUCUCCCCUCCNNNNNNNNNNNNNNNNNNNNNNNNNNNNNNNNNNNNNNNNNNNNNNNNNNNNNNNNNNNNNNNNNNNNNNNNNNNNNNNNNNNNNNNNNNNNNNNNNNNNNNNNNNNNNNNNNNNNNNNNNNNNNNNNNNNNNNNNNNNNNNNNNNNNNNNNNNNNNNNNNNNNNNNNNNNNNNNNNNNNNNNNNNNNNNNNNNNNNNNNNNNNNNNNNNNNNNNNNNNNNNNNNNNNNNNNNNNNNNNNNNNNNNNNNNNNNNNNNNNNNNNNNNNNNNNNNNNNNNNNNNNNNNNNNNNNNNNNNNNNNNNNNNNNNNNNNNNUCUUUCCGCCGGCGAGCCCCCUCUCCACUGCCGCCAUCCACCGUCCGUCGGAGGUAAGAUUUUCAACUAUUUUUUUUUGUGUUGAUCGGGCCACCGGAAGGCGAAGCCGUCCGUGGCGGGGUGGGUGGGUGGGGUGCCAUGGGCUGCCGGUGGCGGCAUGGGGUCAGGGAGGGGUCGGCCGAUUUCGGGGAGUAGAGGCCAUGGGAGGCCGACUCCGAAGCUCAUUCAGGAAAAAAAAUAUUUUAAAAAAAUAAAAAAUUAUAAAAUAAAAUUUAGGUUAAAAAUAUUUUAGAAAAAAUAAAAAAUCAUCGAGUUCUCGGAAUUAGGUUUCAUGUUAUUAUUUUAUGUUAAUAUUAUUUUACAUGCUCAACCGCUUAUAGUUUAUUUUAUAUUUGUUGCAUAAAUUUAUUUUAUAUUUAUUGCAUAAUCAAUUAUUUAUAAUUUUUAUUAUUAUUAUUUAAUAUUAUAUUCAUUUAUAUAUCAAAAAUUAUAGGUAUGGUACAAGGAGACAGACAACGACGUUCAUGUUCGCCGUCUACCUCGGAGGCUGAGGCACCUUCAUCGAUUUCUAUUGCCGCACCAGUUCCAUCAUCAAAAAGUCCUGCACUGGCAGGUCCCGGUGAGAUGGGUUUGAGUGAAGCGGAUCUGAGUGGUAUUAUUAUUCUUUUUAUAUAAUAAAAUUUAAAUUUUUUAAUUUGGAUAGCUAUCAUAUUAAUGAUUUAUUUAUUGUUAUUUCAGGUCAGUCUCCAUCGGUAGUGAGGCGGGGACGAGGUCCAUCGAAGAACCUCGCUCUAGAGUGUUGGAGACAUCCAAACUUUUUUCUUAAGUUUAACUAUUGAAUCAUUUAUUCUUAAAUUAAAUUUAUUAUUUACCAAUUUAACUGGAUAACUGUACAGAGAAAAUAUGUCCAGAAUGCAAUGAAUCAGACGAGACAAUAAUGGUAGAGCGGACGCGUCGACGAUUAUCAGCACUUCUAAAUCCAGAUGAUGGAGCAGAUAGUGCAGAUGGAGCAAACGAUACAGCUGAUGAGGUAGCAGCAGGCCGAUCCGAGCUUCGUCGAGCGCUCUCCGUCUCCAGCUCGUUCUCCAGAUGUCAAUAUUUAAUGACUUAUUGAUGUAUUUUUUUAUUUUAAAUAUUUUAUAAUUUUAAUUUAAUAUAAUAAAAUAAUAAAAUUUAUUUAUUAAUUUAUUAUAUAAAAUUUUUAUUUUAAUUUUUUUAAUUAUAAAAAAUAUUAUAUAUAUAAAUUUAAAAUAUAUAUUCAUAAUAUUUUUUAAAAAAUAUGGCCAAAUUAUUAACGAUGAAAUUAUUCUCGACGAAAUAUUUAUCAUCAAAAAUAUUUUACUAACAUAAUUUAAUUUAUCAAUAAAUAUAUACUUAACAGUGACGAAAUUUUUUUUAUCGUAAAUAAUUAUUAGUGACGUAAAUUUUCGUCAAAAAUUACCUUAUUUGCGACGAAAAUUUUCGUUGCUAAUAUUGUUCAAUUUUAUUUAUUUUUUAUUAAAUUAAUAGCAAUGACUUAUUUUCGUUGUAAAAAAUUUUUUUUGCGACGUAAAUUUUUUGUCGCUAAUUAAAUUAAUAGUGACAAAAAUAAUUUCAUUGUUAUUAAUUUUUUAUUUAUCAUCGAUGAUUUUUUUCAUCACAAAUAUUUUUUUUAGAUUAAAUUUUUUCAUCUUAUUUUUUUUAAUGAUGAAAAAAAUUUAUCGAAAAUAUCAUUAUUAGCAACAAAAAAUUAUUUCGUUGUAAAAUAUUAUCAAUGAUGAAAUUAUUUGCGAUGAAUUAUUAACGAUCAAAAUUUUAUCGCUAAUAUGUAUUAGCGACAAAAAUCGAUUAUUAGUGACGAAAAAUUUUCGUCACUAAUAACCUAUUUUAUUGCAGUGAGUCCUAUAUAUGUCUAAUUGGCCUGCCAAAAUUGACCAUACACCAUCCAUUUCACAACCGUUGCUCCACCACUUUGAAAUGAAAAUGAAAGGAAGACUGAUCACCUACCCAAGUAACAAAUGACUUGUGUGUCAAACACCACAAAAUGAUAUCACAAGUCACAAGUUUUAUUAAAAACAAUUGCACAAAUGCUCUUUAGGGACUUUGGUUGACAAUUUUUACUAAAGUAACUUCACGAAAAUAUUAAAAUGAUGGAGUUUGCUACAUUAAUUAUUUUGUUCUUUUUAAAAAAUCUAUUUUAUCAAAAUUGGCGAGUUACAGAAUCCACACAUUAGCUUUAGAGAGGACAACUUCUUCCCUUUCUAAUAGAAUGUAAUUACAGAAAUCAUAUGUCAAUAGUUCUCUAUUUUAGGGAAAAACUAUAGACAACCAAACAGUGUUUAUAAGCAACAAUUACGCUAACCAAUAAUAGUUCCUUACUCUCGUUUCUUGGUUAGAAGUGGAUUAGAUCGUGCCUUGGUUACCUCGAUUAAAAUGAGCCUAGUCUGUAACAAGAUAUGGAUCCUGUUUACCAACCGGGCUCAGCUUAUUCCAUGAGGUAUCCGACCUGGCUUGUUUAUCUGAUAGGGCCCCCGCCUUACUUUGUUGACAUGAUUUAACUACAGCGAACUGGACCAGAAUCAUUGCGCUUUGUCGGGGUUGAGGGGCGCCUCUGCAAGCCCUCUGGCGUGCUGCAGCCAUGUCAACCACCAAUAUUUGCUUCAAUCGGAACGAGGAAUCUUCCAAAGGGACGUAAGUCACGGGAUGACCAAAUCUCCCGCCUCAUCUUAACACGAAAGCACAGCGUAGACCAAACCUCCAGGCAGUGGUGGUGUUGAAUGGAACCAUGCAUGGAAGAUAAGGAUGGGCGACUACGUUUCAACGUGGAAUGUACGUGGGGUAUUGUAUUCCCACCAUUAUUCUCAAAAAAAAAAAAAGGAAAAGAAAAAAAUUAUGUGCUAAUUAACCACUUCAAGAAGAAGACUUGUCGGAAUGCCUGGCUGAACAGCAUGGUGAGGUGAUGGGGAUGUUGUUGGAAGGUCAAUCACUGCGAACCUCCAUUGCUGGAUGCAUUAAAUCACGUUUGUCAAAAAGAUGGCUUCAUGUCUCCAUCUCUCCUUUUCGUCCGUCUCCACUCUUUCAUUUGUUAAACAGGCGGAAGGACAGCCAUCUUUUUUCAUUAUGGGAGAAUAAUGACACCGUACUGUUAGGUGUCACCAAACGAAUACAAAAUCCCAGUUUAAUGCGUAUACGAAGGCAUCAUGCCAACCUUAAUUAGGAAUAUAUAUAUAUUUUUUUAUAUUUUUGGUACAUAAACUGUAUAUGUUUUCAUUGUCUAAUACCAUGACAUGUCAUCGAUAGUUGGCCGUUGUUCUGUCGGUCCACCGUUGCUUGAAUUGUUUGGAACUCUAUUCAGUUCUCUUGGACCAAAUCGUUAUCGCCGGCUUAUUCUUUAUUUUUGGACUUACACGCAAUCGGUCAUAAUGUUAACUUACAAGCAAUCAUGCCAUGUGGGUCCAGGGUAGCCUUCUUUUUGUGUAUAUAUAAGGAGGGGCUCUGGCAUCAUCAUCGAUAUCGGGUUCCAGCGCUUAAUCUCUAGCAUUAUACUUCUUGUUUCUAUCUAUAAGGUGUGCAGCAGUCUCUCUUUCACUUUCUCGGUUAGCUACUUUUCCUUGUCACAAUUACGUGUUAUUUUUUAGGACUACCUAGUAAGUCGAGUAAUUUCAAUCUAGAGCAAGCAACUCCAGCAUCCCUUUGAUUCUUGCUGGAUUUUAGAAACUUAAGGAUUCUGUGGCAUGUAUGAUCUUCAUUUCCAUCCUUCUUGAGAAGAAAGUUCUUCUGCCAUCAAAUACAAAUGAUUACUAUCUCACGACUUUCUGUUUGGUGUUGCCUAAAAUGGAGUCAAGCAUGAUCAUGGCCAACCGUAGAAGCUUAGAGACAAAUAGUUGAUUAAUUUUGCAAGUGCUACAACCACUGCUAAUCUUUGUUUCAGAUAAUGGGCUAGCUGUUCACUGCAUUCGCAAAUAAUUAGUAUAUCUCUUAAGGUCCAACUUAGUAUUUAUCUUUAUGUCCAUAUAAACACCUUUUGUCUGAUUUAUUUCUAUAUUUUUUCACAGGAAAGCUACAGGAAUGAGGUCUACGCUGUUGUUGAGUAUUUUUUAUCUAAUCAUCGGUCUGGCAGUCGGGACCAGACCACCACCUCCAAUAACUGAGCAAAUCCUUCGAAACGUCGCCGGCUCUCUUCAAAUGUACAUCGAACCCCUCCCGCAGAUGCCUAAGCUCUAUGGCUAUUCAAUCGUAAAUGGAUGGCCAAAGUCCGUCACACUCAUCAUCGGCAUGUUCGAAAAGAAAUGGGUAAGAAUCAAUAUCCUUCUGCCCUGCAUUAUACAAACAUAAAAAUUACUGUGGCCAAUCUUCUACCAUCUGUCGUCGGUGCAGAGCAUCUGUAAAAUAAAAUUUUCACAGAUCAAAAUUAUAUAUUAAUCUACUUGUUGUCGACAAUAUAUACUUGAUAUGGUACUUAAUUUGCCGGACAUGCAGCUAGACCUAAGAUAAAGAGAGAGAUGUGACUAUGGGAAUUCCAAUUCUGCUAAGUAAUAAACUCCCAGUCGAUAAAUGGCUAAGUGGAUGAACUUUUUGUCCAUAACAAAAUUUCAGAGAUUACCAUGGAUAAUAAUUUUUGUCUCCAAAAAUAUUUAGAAAUUUAUAGAUAAUUUUUUCUACCUAAAAAUCUAUAGGCCUAGCUCUAAAAAUCAAUUUAAUAUAAUAAACAAGCCGGUUAGAUUCAAAUAUGCAUGUAUGACUCGUUAGCCUCGAUCGGGCUAGUCACAUGUUCUCGUUAAAACACUGUUACAACAUCAACCUUCUUUUUAAAUGUUGGACAGAUUCGUACUGCAUAUUAGUCAAAUAACAUUUCGCAAAAGAAAAAAAAAGGGGUUAUAUUUAAGAGAAAAUAAAACUAAAAGAAUUACAUGUUAUUCUCGUAGCUAGAAAAAGCCAAGAAUAUUCCGGACUUAUUAUUUAUCCUAACCGAUGCAAGCUAAUGGUAUCCACCUUUCUGAAUGGCAGCCCGCGCACUAGGGCGCAAAAUGGACAUAAUACAUUAAUGGCGCAACACUGUUGAUUAGUGUUAAUGACGGUCUCUCAAUAAAUCCAAAGAUUUCCCCCUUAUUAUAUCUCUUUUGCAGGAGGUUUGGUAAAAAGAAUUCAAUUUACUUUUUUUAAAAAAACAAGAAAGAAAAUCAGAUAACAAUCUAAAAAUCAACUCCUCAUAAAAAAAAAAGAAAAAUAAGAAAAAAUAAAUAAAUAAAAGAAAGAAAAAAAAUGGAGUUCCCAUUUCUUUCUGCUUUUAAUUCCUUUUCCUUUUAAUUAUAAAGUUUCUGAUUUGGUUUUGCUUGAAUAAAUUCACUUGGGCCCUGGAACCUUUUUAAAUCUAGUCAAGUGUAUCUCUUGAAAGAUAAUCCUAUGAUCCAGUGCAAGCUAGUGUUAUUGGUAGAGCCUCAAGCUGUCUGAUAGGUUAUCUUUUUUCUUUUCUCUUUUUUUUUUUUUUUGGUUGAUGAAAAGGAGGUGAAACCUCCAUUAUUUAUUAGUACUUAAAUUAGACAGUUUGAAAAGAGUUACAUAGUUGUAACCUUUCAGUACAUCUCUACUAUAUAUGCUUAGCUCUUUUUUCCUAAUUUGGGUUGAGGAAAUAUAGUCGUUUCCUCGUGAAGUAUUAAUGAUUGUCUUUGAGCAGGAAAGAAGUCUUCAAUAACCUAUCUCCCAACAGCAGUCUCAAUCAGGCUUUUGAACCUCAGGUGUCCAGCUUACUUCUUUGAAGCAAUCUUGGUUAUAUCACCUUUAAAACUCUGAAGACAGGAAAAGAAGAAUCUGAUUCUGAAACUCUGAAAAGUUCGACAGAUCUGAAAACAGAUUUUUGGUUAAAUAUUGAAAGCAGAGAAUCCGAUUUUGUGAACUCGUUAGCUCUGAAAAUUGAUUUGUCGUAACCUCUGUAAUUCUGAAAACCUGUCUCCAUCAGUGUCUAUUUGCUCCGAAAAUCCAUCCUCUCUUAUCUCCUUUUUUUUCUUCCCCACUAUUCCCUGAAUAUAAGACCUCUGAUGUUUCCUUCUGAGAUUGCCGCCAAGUUUCCCCAAAAAAGAGUCCUCGAUCUGAUGAGUGCCCAUAUCUUCUUUUAUUUGUGUACCACUAAAUGCAUUGUCUGUCGCAGGAAAAUUUUUGUUUCAUCUGUCCAGAAGAUAAAAAGUGCUGCAAUUUGCUGAGCAAUUUGGUUUAGGAUAGUAAGCAUGGAAUUCAAAUACCUGUUUGUUGUGCUCUUUCCAAAGACACCACAGACCAAUUAUGAGAAGCGCAUCUAUUCCAUGUCUUUGAUCUUGAUUGACAUUAUUGACUCUCCCUGUAUUCCAUAAAAUGUCCAGUGUGGAUGGGAGUUCUGGCAGUUGCAAGUUUAGGAGUCGCUGAGUCCAAAUUGUUCUGGAGAAACGGCAUUCAAGCAUAAGAUGAUGAUUAGUCUGAUAGGUUAUCUUAAAGUGGUCUGCAGGCAAUGGAAACGAUCAAAUUAUCUGAUAACAACUCUUUCGCAUGCAGAAAUUCCACCGGGACUUGCCGCCGACGACCGUUUUUGCUUUCGGCACCUGCCCGGACACCGCCACGUUCCCCGGCCCCACCAUCGAGGCCCUCCAGGGGGUCCCACUGCAUGUGACGUGGCAGAACCACCUUCCUCAUAGCCACAUCCUCCCAUGGGACCCCACAAUCCCGGUAGCCAACCCGAAGCAUGGCGGCGUCCCCGCCGUCGUCCACCUCCACGGCGGCGUCCACGAACCCCAGUCCGACGGCAGUGCCCUCGCCUGGUUCACUGCCGGCUAUCUCGAUACCGGCCCAAAAUGGACCCAGCCCACCUAUACCUAUCCCAACGUCCAGCACCCGGGCAACCUCUGGUACCACGACCACACCAACGGCCUCACCCGCGCCAACCUCCUCGCCGGCCUCAUAGGCGCCUACGUCAUCCGGAACCCCCACGUCGAGGUCCCCUUCGGCCUCCCCAGCGGCGACGCCUUCGACCGCCACCUCAUCCUCGCCGACCGGAGCUUCGCCACCGACGGCUCCCUCUAUAUGAACAACACCGGUGACAACCCCUCCAUUCACCCCCAGUGGCAGCCAGAGUACUUCGGCGAGGCCAUCACCGUCAACGGCAAGGUCUGGCCGUUCCUUGCCGUCCAGCGCCGCAAGUACCGCUUUCGUAUCAUCAACGCCAGCAAUGCGCGUUACUUCAAGCUUGCACUGUCCAACGGGCUAAUGUUUUACGUCGUCGGCUCCGACUCGUCCUACCUGCCGAAGCCCGUUGCCAGUCCGACGAUCGUCGUCUCGCCGUCCGAGACCUUCGAUGUGGUGAUCGAUUUCUCGAAAUCAACCACCUCAACUGCGGAGCUAACCAACAGUGCAUCAUACCCGUACCCCAAUGGUACUGCUGCCGGCCAGCUAAACGGCAAGGUAAUGAGGUUCGUCAUAUCGGCCGAUACCCCGACCGACGAUUCGAGGAUCCCGUCAAGCCUAGUGAAUUAUCCGGCGGCCAACGAGGGGGAGGCGACGGUGAGGAGAUACAUUACAAUGUAUGAAUACCAGAGCUCGACCGGGAAGCCGACGCACUUUUAUAUCAACGGGAAGAGUUUCGAGGACCCGGUGACGGAGAUGCCGAGGCCGGGGAGCACGGAGGUGUGGGAGGUGAUCAACCUAACGGGGGAUAACCAUCCAUUGCAUGUCCACCUAGCGACGUCCCAGGCCGUGAGGGUGACGGAGCUGGUGGAUUUGACGACGUUCGGCAAUU